CGAGAAAGCCCGCAAGGGUGAGUAAAGCGGCGCACGGGUGCGUAACACGUGGGUAAUCUGCCCUAGAGUCCGGAAUAACUCGCCGAAAGGCGUGCUAAUGCCGGAUGAGACCACGGGAGCCUCGGCUCCUGCGGGAAAAGGUGGCCUCUGUAUACAAGCUAUCGCUCUAGGAUGAGCCCGCGGCCCAUCAGCUCGUUGGCGGGGUAAUGGCCCACCAAGGCUACGACGGGUAGCUGGUCUGAGAGGACGAUCAGCCACACUGGGACUGAGACACGGUCCAGACUCCUACGGGAGGCAGCAGUGGGGAAUCUUGCGCAAUGGGCGAAAGCCUGACGCAGCAACGCCGCGUGUGUGAUGAAGGUCUUCGGAUCGUAAAGCACUGUCGCGAGGGACG
rnacentral:rRNA from 1 species